AAGCAGAGAGAACACUGCAACUUGUGGGACGCUGGCCCACCCAUUUAUGGGAGCCUCGCAGCUGUGCCACCAUCGCUACCAUCUCAGGCAACUGCAGUAAAACAAAACACCUCCUGAGUGUCCCCUCCAAAGGCUGUGCCGAAAGGCGGAGAGGUAGAGCUGAACCUGCAGGGAGAACAAUCCAAAGCCUUUGCUCAGCCUGGAUUUUCUGCAGGAACAGCCUGGCCAACCCGCACCACAGGCCUCCACGAAGGCCGUUUGGGGCCUAUUCCACAUGUGCUGUGGAAAAACCGUUGACAGACGAUGGUGGCAGACGUUACGUUGGUACCAAAGGGCGGAGGAGCGUCAGAGACGAAGUGCUGUGCGAUGCCUGGAGGUGCUGCGCCACUGAGGUGAACGUGGAGGAAUCGUCGUAGUAAAACACAUGAGAAGAUACACUAUUAUUUUUUGAAAUGCCGCUUCCCAUUCUCGGACAUCUGAAGAAGGUAAUAAUUAAACCUUGACUGCGGUCGUUUUACCUACAACAAACACUUCCCCUUUUGUGUUGGGAGCGCCGGCCUCGCAGCUCAGAGCCCGCCACAGCCCGCAGCAAACUCCUUCCUCGGGGAAAGCCGUAGCUGGCUGCCACCUGCCCCGCGCCCACGCUGCCCGCACCCGGGCCAGCCCCAAAGCAUCCGGCGCUACGGCUGGGGUGGAAGAGGCAGGUAGGAAGGGGUCAACGGAGGGGAGACCGGGGAGCCGGGCGGGGUCGCCGCCGAGGAGCCGCG